AAAAUGUAUUUAUCAAUGUUUUUUUUGUUUCUAUCAAUUGGUUACUUGAUCUUUUAACCUAGAAAUGUUGUAUCAACUCUUUUCAAUUUCCUCUUCGUAAAAUGGCGAUAAUUUAAAAAGUAAUUUGGGAGAUGAACGCGUAGAGCGAAGGUACAUAUUAAGCCGAAGUGGAGUGAAAUGGAGUCGUCGUGGCCUAAAGGAUAAGAUGUCCGGUGCAUUCGUAUGUAGCGCUGCACCGGUGUUCGAAUCCCGCAGGCGGGUACCAAUUUUUCUAAUGAAAUACGUACUUAACAAAUGUUCACGAUUGACUUCCACGGUGAAGGAAUAGCAUCGUGUAAUAAAAAUCAAACCCGCAAAAUUAUUACUGCAUUACUGCUUCACGGCAGAAAUAGACUCACAUGAUGUCUUACCACCAUGUUUAUUGUUUUCUAUUUAGGGAUUUGUCGGCUAAACAUCUUUAUUACUUUUAUAAACAUAUAAUAGCUUGAUCAUCGAGUACAUCAUUAUCAUAAGAAACUUUAAUUUUUUACCGUUUUAUAAUUAUUUUUAAUGUUUAUUAUUAUAAAAAGAAUACUUAAUACAAUUUGUUGGUUAGUUAAAGAAAAGAAAAAAACAUGUAUACGUUUGAUCACAAGUUGAUUAACAUCAUAGACAAAUCUUACAGUUUAGCUGUAUGUUGUAACGUAGUUUGUAGCACUGAAUCGAAUGCUCUUUCCGCUGCCGCGAACGCGCCCCGCGUCGCGCUCGCUUCAGCUCCCGCGCAAGCCCAUGCAAUGUAGCCACCUUCUUUUACCAACGGCGAAAAUGAUUCUAAUAACUGGAAAUAAACGAAUCGAUUGAUUUUUUUGUAAAUUACUAGUUGAUUAAGUGGGUUUUUGUCAGUAAACAAUGUAUGAGUCGGGCGAGUAAAUCUAUAGUA